GCACCUGUAGCUUAAUGGAUAGAGCACAAGAUUCCGGAUCUUGUGGUUGGAGGUUCGAAUCCUCUCAGGUGCGCAA
rnacentral:tRNA from 2 species